AUGUCUGAACUAGCCGGGUAUUACAAUCUUCCCCCCUUACAAAACAUUCAUCCUCGAAUGUUAAAAACAAACAGAUAAGCAAGUAAAGCCUAUCACUUCUCUCUAAAGAGAGAAUCUAUACCUCUAUUCUCCUGAUCUGAGUUCAUACUCAUAACCUUUUUCUAAACUCCACAGCUUUCGCUGCGCUAUUCUGAUCCUUACUCUUCUCUUUCUCUUUUCAUCUUAACUAAACUUAUCUCUUUAAUUCUCAACAGGCAAUAGCCUCCUCUGUAGGUUCGAUACCAACCUGUACUCCUAAUCCUUGCCCGCCUUUCCUCUUCUUUAUCAAACUAACUUGAUUUCUAACUCUCAACAGGUACUACUCAAAUCUGUACUCUG
rnacentral:lncRNA from 1 species